AGAUGGCGACCGGCGCACGGGUGAGUAACACGUAUCCAACCUGCCGAUAACUCGGGGAUAGCCUUUCGAAAGAAAGAUUAAUACCCGAUGGUAUAAUCAGACCGCAUGGUUUUGUUAUUAAAGAAUUUCGGUUAUCGAUGGGGAUGCGUUCCAUUAGGCAGUUGGUGAGGUAACGGCUCACCAAACCUUCGAUGGAUAGGGGUUCUGAGAGGAAGGUCCCCCACAUUGGAACUGAGACACGGUCCAA
rnacentral:rRNA from 1 species